GAGGCUGCAGUAGGGAAUCUUCCACAAUGGACGAAAGUCUGAUGGAGCAACGCCGCGUGAGUGAAGAAGGGUUUCGGCUCGUAAAACUCUGUUGUUAAAGAAGAACAUAUCUGAGAGUAACUGUUCAGGUAUUGACGGUAUUUAACCAGAAAGCCACGGCUAACUACGUGCCAGCAGCCGCGGUAAUACGUAGGUGGCAAGCGUUGUCCGGAUUUAUUGGGCGUAAAGCGAGCGCAGGCGGUUUUUUAAGUCUGAUGUGAAAGCCUUCGGCUCAACCGAAGAAGUGCAUCGGAAACUGGGAAACUUGAGUGCAGAAGAGGACAGUGGAACUCCAUGUGUAGCGGUGAAAUGCGUAGAUAUAUGGAAGAACACCAGUGGCGAAGGCGGCUGUCUGGUCUGUAACUGACGCUGAGGCUCGAAAGUAUGGGUAGCAAACAGGAUUAGAUACC
rnacentral:rRNA from 1 species